GUGUACUGGGCAUCUCUUGCAGGAUCAAAAAGCUCCCCCUUCUUCCUGCCUUGGCCUGAGAUCAUUUUACCAAGCCCAUCGCAGGCCUCCCCUGGCUGAGCUGAGGAUGUGGCCUGCUUCCUUCAUCAGCUGGGAUCUGAUUGCAUCUUUGUCUCUCCAAUUACUCUGAUCCAGAUGUAUCCUCUGCUUUUUUCCCUCUUGCCUCCUGUGAUAAGAUCACUAUCUACCAGGGAUGCCCCCUGCCCCGACACGCACACAGGCACACAGAUACAGACACACAGCAUAUUGGUUAGGCUACUUUCUUUUUUUUAAAGGUGACAAAGCUGGCUCCUCGGCUUGAUAAGGCUCAAGCUGCCUUCCUGGGGAUCUUGAGCUGGAUUGAUGGCUUCCUGGUUCCCUAAGGGCAUAAAAAGGCCAGGCCAUGUGGAGUGAGGCCCCUUCACAUUUGGCAGAUGUUCCAGGGUUUCCGGAUUCACCACACCCUGCCCUGAUGACCAAAGAUGGUUCCAUGAGAGGAGGGAAGCCCCUUCUUUCCAAGCCAAGUUCUGCAAUAUCCUCAUUUAUGAAGAAGAAGAAGAGAAAUGUAACUCAGAGAGUUGUAAUUCAUCCUUCAUUUUCCAAGAGAAACAGUGUCAUCAUGGGAUGUCUUGACUUGCUAGUAAAUUGGAUUUAAGUGAGGCAAAGUUGCACAAAGUUAUCAGCCUCACUUUUCUUUCCAGAGUCAUCCAAGUCCAGGGGCAAAUGAAAGUCAAGAUGCCUGGUGAUGGCCGGGGAUGCAGGAGAUGACCUUGGAGUCUUUGAAGUUUGACCAAGCUCUAGGCACUUCACAGUGCCUGCUUUAGCCACUUUCAUACCCAUUGAAACAAAUUGUUCUCCUCUGCCCAUUCUGCCAGGGAAAGUCCACCCUCCUAACUCACUGAUGGUUUGAAGCUUCUUGGUUUAGCCAUCCACCUAGAUGGUUUUACAGAGGUGUGGCCACUGCACAUGCCACAGCUUCAUGGAACCACUGAAAACCAUAACAAAGUUCAUCUGGAAGAACAAAAGAUCAAUGAUAUCCAGGGAAAUCAUGAAAAAAAUGCAAAGGAAAGUGGCCUUGCAGUCCUAGAUCUCAAACUAUACUAUAAAGCAGUGGUCAUCAAAACAAUAUGGUACUGGCUAAGAGACAGAAAGGAGGAUCAGUGGAAUAGACUUGGGGUAAGUGACCUCAGCAAGACAGUCUAUGAUAAGCCCAAAGAUCCCAGCUCUUGGGACAAAAAUCCACUAUUUGAUAAAAACUGUUGAGAAAAUUGAAAGACAGUAUGUGAGAGAUUGGGUUUGGAUGGACAUCUCACACCCUACACCAAGAUAAACUCAGAAUGGGUGAAUGAC
rnacentral:lncRNA from 1 species